ACGGCUCGUGGCGCCUGUCCAGCAGUGUAGUGUGUUCAAAAACAAUAGAGUAAAAAUACUGUAUUUUCCCUCCGAGAGAACAAUAAAGGUAUUUAAUCUUUACCAAGGAUGAAGGUUGCAAUGGAGGUGGUGAAACCGGCUGACUGGAUGCAGCAGCAGAGCUCACUGAGGCUGAGGCUGAGGCGGAGGCUGAGGCUGAGGCUGCCUGAGAAGUCGGUUGGACCGGCUGUCCUCCACAGAGCCUCUGAUCCCUCUCGGCUGCUAUGGAUUCCCUGAUGAGCUUCAGCUGCUCCACUGAUGCAGACUUGGAGAACACGAGAUGCGUCUCAGCCUGGAAAAA